UGAUCGGGGGGAUUACUGGGCGUAAGCGCGCGCAGCGGUUUUUUAGGUCUGAUGUGAAAGCCCACGGCUCAACCGUGGAGGGUCAUUGGAAACUGGGAAACUUGAGUGCAGAAGAGGAAAGUGGAAUUCCACGUGUAGCGGUGAAAUGCGUAGAGAUGUGGAGGAACACCAGUGGCGAAGGCGACUUUCUGGUCUGUAACUGACACUGAGGCGCGAAAGCGUGGGGAGCAAACAGGAUUAGAUACCCUGGUAGUCCACGCCGUAAACGAUGAGUGCUAAGUGUUAGAGGGUUUCCGCCCUUUAGUGCUGCAGCUAACGCAUUANGCACUCCGCCUGGGGGAGUACGGUCGCAAGACUGAAACUCAAAGGAAUUGAC
rnacentral:rRNA from 1 species